AUCUACAGCUGUACCACCCUGAAGGUGCCUGAUCUCAUCUGAUCUUGGGAGCUAAGCAGAGUUGAGCCUGGUUAGUACUUGGUUGGGAGACCACCUGGGAAUACCAGGUGCUAAUGCUU
rnacentral:rRNA from 1 species